rnacentral:rRNA from 1 species
UUGCACCUUCAUGGUUAGCGGCGGACGGGUGAGUAACACGUGGGCAACCUGCCUGUAAGACUGGGAUAACUUCGGGAAACCGGAGCUAAUACCGGAUAAUCCUUUUCCUCUCAUGAGGAAAAGCUGAAAGUCGGUUUACGCUGACACUUACAGAUGGGCCCGCGGCGCAUUAGCUAGUUGGUGAGGUAACGGCUCACCAAGGCGACGAUGCGUAGCCGACCUGAGAGGGUGAUCGGCCACACUGGGACUGAGACACGGCCCAGACUCCUACGGGAGGCAGCAGUAGGGAAUCUUCCGCAAUGGACGAAAGUCUGACGGAGCAACGCCGCGUGAGCGAUGAAGGCCUUCGGGUCGUAAAGCUCUGUUGUUAGGGAAGAACAAGUACCGGAGUAACUGCCGGUACCUUGACGGUACCUAACCAGAAAGCCACGGCUAACUACGUGCCAGCAGCCGCGGUAAUACGUAGGUGGCAAGCGUUGUCCGGAAUUAUUGGGCGUAAAGCGCGCGCAGGCGGUCCUUUAAGUCUGAUGUGAAAGCCCACGGCUCAACCGUGGAGGGUCAUUGGAAACUGGGGGACUUGAGUACAGAAGAGGAAAGCGGAAUUCCACGUGUAGCGGUGAAAUGCGUAGAGAUGUGGAGGAACACCAGUGGCGAAGGCGGCUUUCUGGUCUGUAACUGACGCUGAGGCGCG